UACGUAGGUGGCAAGCGUUGUUCGGAAUUAUUUGGCGUAAAGCGUGCGCCGGCGGUUUUGGAAGCCAGAUGUGAAAUCCCCGGGCUCAACCUGGGAAAUGCAUUUGGGACUACAAGGCUAGAGUGUGUCAGAGGGGGGUAGAAUUCCACGUGGAGCAGUGAAAUGCGUAGAGAUGUGGAGGAAUACCGAUGGCGAAGGCAGCCCCCCGGGAUAACACCGACGCUCAUGCACGAAAGCGUGGGGAGCAAACAGG
rnacentral:rRNA from 1 species